rnacentral:lncRNA from 10 species
GCACAAGCACCAGUGCUAACUGAGAAUCCAGUAAGCUGUUGCCAAGUGCCCAAAGGCUUGCCUAGGCAGGGAGUUGGGAAACUUCCUUGACCCCAAGUUCUCUGCACAGAGAUGGAGGCAGCCUAAAUUCCUAAUCCAGGAGAGUAGGUGCUCCAGAUGCCUGGAGAUCUGCCUGGGUGUGGAACAGAGAGGGCCCCCUUGUACCAGGGUUUCUGCCCAUGAAGGAUAUGGCUCAGGCUGAUCCAGACAAGCAAGUGCUCCGAGUGCCUGGAUUUCUGCCUAGGGGUGAAGCAAAGAGGGCCCCACUGCACCAUGAUCUCAAAGGAGCAGUUGGGGCACACAGUAAUGGCACACACAGACCACCAAGGUGGUCACCAACCUGGCCCUAGCUACAAGUCUCACUGCCCAGGAGAAACUACAGCUGUAGAAGCUCUCCUCCCACCGGAGACUUGUGUUGGAAGAGAGCACAAUCCCAGAACCUACUGCUGAGGAGCUUUCCACAGUUCUGACUGUAGAGGUUCCUACCCUGCUCUAGAGGAGGUGCUCCAAUCUCCGGCCCAAGACUAAAAUUCCUGCAUGACUAUGCUGUUAGGUCGCCAAAUAAUGGCUGACUUUGUAUGCCUCCAGAUUAAAAAUGGUGUCCUGCUCUUGAUCCUGGGUCUGGAAAAAUGUCUAUAGCUUUGUCUGGUGUCUGUCCUCAGCAUCUACAACACUGUCCCCACAUUAGCUCCAGGGCUUGGAAGAAUGAAAGUGCUCUCCCUCAGCCUGGAUUGCUGAGAUCCCCGGUGGAAAGAAAGAAGCCAUUCAAACAUUCGGGCUGCGAAGUGUGAAGGACCCACGAUCCAUUUCACAGAUUUCCAGGACAGUAGAGCUAACAGAACCACAAGGGCUUCCUACUUUCUUCCACAUAUAAGGGCUUGGAAGUCACCACCACCAUUCUCAAAACAAGAUAAAAGCUGAACAAAAUGAAAACCAACAACCCCUCUUACAUUCAUCAGAGAACAGACGUCACGGGGCAAGCUGCUGGUCCAGAAGCUAGAAAAAGAAGAGGAUACCAAUAAUCACAGCUUAGCAGGAACAGAAGUCCAGAAGCAGGAGCCCUAGGCUGGAGCCAGUGCUGGUAGGAGCACUUGAACUGCAGUUGAUAAACUUCUGGAGACUCAGCAUGAACUUGCAGGAGAGUUAAAACUCUGGAGACUCAGUCUUGGGGUGGGGAGGACAUUUUCAUGAGUUUCACUUCCAGGAGUUUCUCUAGUGAAGAUCAGGGAAAAGUCCCUCACACUUCAGUCAGGUGAGGGGAAAAAGUAACUAUUUGAAAUACAGUUGACCUUGAACAACACAGGUUUGAACUGCAAGGGUCCACUUAUAUACAGAUUUUCUUCCUCCUUUACCACCCCUGAGACAGUAAG